GACGAACGCUGGCGGCGUGCUUAACACAUGCAAGUCGAACGAAGUGGCGAACGGGUGAGUAACGCGUAAUCAACCUGCCCUUCAGAGGGGGACAACAGUUGGAAACGACUGCUAAUACCGCAUACUGAGUGACGUGAUUGCGUCUGAUUAGCUAGUUGGCGGGGGAACGGCCCACCCAGGCGAUGAUCAGUAGCCGGGCUGGGGGGGUGGACGACCACAUUGGGACUGGGACACGGCCCAGACUCCUACGGGGGGGAACAGUGGGGGAUCUUCCGCAAUGGACGAAAGUCUGACGGAGCAACGCCGCGUGAGUGAUGACGGCCUUCGGGUUGUAAAGCUCUGUUAAGCGGGACGCGGUACCGGAAGAGAAAGCCACGGCUAACUACGUGCCAGCAGCCGCGGUAAUAC
rnacentral:rRNA from 1 species